rnacentral:piRNA from 1 species
UGCAUUUGGGAAGGUCAAUAGUGUACCC